CCUGCGGGCAUGCGUACAGCUCGCGAAAUGAUGGUGGUAGGGUGGAAAUCGCGGAGGUUCGAGGGUACGAACAAGGGUGACACCCUGCAGUCUGACGCGGGACUUCGACCCUCGUGCUUCGCCGGGGAAUGAAGUAACCAGUCACGAUUCUUGGACUAGCGACUCGAAGAAAUAGAGCCGUGAAUUCGGGAAAGUCAUGCGCGAGUUCGCGCUGAGAUGGAGAUUCGGAGAAAAGAGUCGUGACAGUCGCGAAAAAUCUUAGUCGCUCUGUCUUUUUGCGUUUCCGUUCGAAUUAUUAUGUACCAAAGUCGACAAGAAGAUACGUUCUCGACGAGAACUUUGCGAAAGAAAAAUACAAAGGACAAUUUUACGCACAUCCGCAGUAAGUUAAGAAGAUCACGUGUAAUGUCUCUCUUACGCGGGAAGAGAAGUCUAUGAAUUGCAAUCUCACCAGCUCAAUUUAUCAUCCUUAUUUUACGACACUCGCACGUUAACGGUUUCGUUAAAAGACAAAAUAGAAAAAAAAACAACGCUCGAAAAACCGUGGUCGUGUUCUCUUCCGUUCGGUUACGAGGUGUACAAAAUUCGAUUACGGGGAAACGCAUCGGAGCGGAAAGGUUCCCGUCGAUCGCACGUCGAGGCUGUCGAAAUAUAAAUUGGAGUACGUUGAUCUCGGAGAGUAGUCAUCGUGCGGCGAGUGUUUCGUUAAUUAACACGAGAUCGGAGAAAUAGGGGAGGCGCAGGAGCCUCAAUACACAGGAAGGAGGAGCCGUAGGGAGAAGCAGAGUCAGUCACGGAAUACACACAUUAUUCAAGCGAAGAGAAACAAACGCGAUGGGCAUGGAAAUCAACACAGAACAGAUUACAACACUGUAUACACUACAAUUCCACUGUUGCAUUGCAAAUUAGAUCGGAGGUGAGUAUUAAAUUAAUUUUUAUUUUAUAAUUCUGAGGAUAAUAAAUUUACGAAAGUGGUUUAUGUAUAAAAUAAAGAAUACCAGAAAAAAAGCCGAAGCGUUACAUCUUUUCUUUUGACACAAUUAUCAGUAUAUAAAAAUUUCAAUUUUGACUAUGAUCGCAGUAAAGUGUAUUAUUCUAUAGUACAUAUACAUACACACAUACAUGUAUAUCAUUGUAUUAACAAAAGUUUGAAAAUAUGCAAGUUAAAAAUAAUAAGAAUGUUACAGAAAAAUAUAUUAUAUCUUGUAAAAAAAAAAUUCAUUGCCUCGAUAUGGAUGAUUUAAGACAGAUAAUCGCAAAAAUAUUCAAUUUUAAAAUAAAUAUGUAUAACGCGUCAAUUUAUUGCAUACAAAAAUGCAUACAAAGCUGAUAGAGUUUAUUACUAUCGAUAUUAUUGACCGACUUAUUCAUUUAUCAAUAUAUUUCUAUAGUAUAUAACGACAAAUCUUAUAAUCUAGUUAAUUCUAGAGAACUGUUUAGUAUUUAUUCUGCUCGCCCUUCUCGUCUAAAAUCCCUCAAACAUGUCAUACGAUAAUCUGCAAUGUGGACACCUGUACACACAGCUCAAGGCUACAUGUGUGUCGCGUAUGUAAACGAUCCGUUAAAGCGCAGCCACAUAUGCGGAUGUACCCGGGAUAUUUGCGUUAAUACGUUGUUUCGUGCAUGGGCUUUAAUAUUGACAACAGAGAAUAGGGCACCAAACAAGAAUGGAUCGCCAAGUUCUUGAGAUUGAGUUAGGUUACAGAUGGAUUCAGUAAGCAAGCAUCCUGGCGCCACAACGCGAGACGCUUUGCGACUGUAAAUACGGCCACGUAAUGAUUUAAGCCGUUCGCCAUGAUUUUGUCCGUACCUGAAGAACUCUCUAUACCUUUCUUUAGUCUUUUCUUGUUCUUCUUUAUUUAUGAUAUAUAAAUAUCAACUCCGUUAAUCUAUGCAGCUAUUGUAUAAUGUUCCCAAAAUUCCGCACGCAAUAAUUGAAACAUUUCUAUAUCGGUUAAACAACAUUUCGUAUUAUUACGAAUUUUGUGGUAUUGUUAUGUGAAGUAUAUAGCAAUAUAGAUAAUAGCACAUGUGAGUAAAUUCCGUAUUAUUAAAUAACUUACUACUGGGAUAAAUUCCAUAUAAAUAUAUAAUAAUUUACCGCAAAUCUGCCCUAGCUAACUUGCUACAGUCAAAGUUACAUUUUGAAUUGUAAUAGAAUCAGAGAUGGGCAAAAUAGUAUAUGAAAUAGUAAUUAAAAAUAUAUAUUUAUGUCAGCUAUUUUUCUUACGUAAGCUUAUAGAAUCUAAAAUAAUAAUUUAUAUUGUAUAAUAAUUAAUAUUUUUAAUAGGCUGCAUUUGAAAUGUGACCACUAUUGUU